CCCAUAACAGUGCGCUAUAGCCCACGAAACUGGCGCGAAACGACAAAAGCACCGUGUUUUUGGGAUGUCUCGGUAGCUGUGUAGUGGUUUCAUGGAGCAUGAAAUAUCGACCCGGGACCCCAAAACAGCGUGUUAUGGCCCGAGAAACUGGCUUGAAACGACAAAAACACCGAGUUUUUCAGAUACGUUCAUACCCGUGCAGACGGUU
rnacentral:lncRNA from 1 species